rnacentral:rRNA from 1 species
UACGGAGGGAGCUAGCGUUGUUCGGAAUUACUGGGCGUAAAGCGCACGUAGGCGGCUUUGUGAGUUAGAGGUGAAAGCCCGGGGCUCAACCCCGGAAUUGCCUUUAAGACUGCAUCGCUUGAAUCCGGGAGAGGUGAGUGGAAUUCCGAGUGUAGAGGUGAAAUUCGUAGAUAUUCGGAAGAACACCAGUGGCGAAGGCGGCUCACUGGACCGGUAUUGACGCUGAGGUGCGAAAGCGUGGGGAGCAAACAGG